UUUGUAUUAAAAAUCUGUAGUUGAGCGUGCUUGGGCUAGAGUAGUACUAGGAUGGGUGACCUCCCAGGAAGUCCUAGUAUUUUACAUGC
rnacentral:rRNA from 1 species